UUUCUGUUUUCUAGAGCAAAAUUUUUACUCGUUAAAUUUUGCUGCAAAAUUUUCAGUUUGGGAUACCACAAGUCAGAGGGCUCUACGACCCCACGUGAAAAUUGGGCGCUGCCUCGCAAGAGGGUUACCAUUUUUUCAAUUAAUUAAAAAAAUAAAAAAUAAAAUAAAAAAAAUAGCCCAACCCGAUACUAUCACUUUAUUCCAUCUCAUUUCCCUUCUAAACCCAACCCUAGCCGCCAUAACCACCACCACCCCCAUCGUCGCCUACCUUUGACCACCCUCCUCUCCACCAUCAUCUCCGGCCCUAGCCCAGAAACUGCCCUCCAACCCAAGCCUUUUCUUCAUCCCAAGUAGCCGAGCCUUUCCCCUGAUGUCGCGAGAACUCCAGGUCCAGCCGCACGCAACCUCUAGUCACCACCAUUUCCUACGCCCUGACACUCCUCUGACCAAUCACAAUAUCAGGCACCCAAGAACCCUCGCUCUCGAGCCCCGCAUCUCCCUAAUCUCGAACCAAGUACCCAUGACCUCUGCCCAAAUCCCAGUCGCAAGCCCCUCUAUGCGAGCCCCCGAGACCCCGAGUCAGCGCCGAGACCCUUCGGCGUGGUCUGCUUUGCACCAUUACGUGAUUUCAGGCGCGAGUGUCCCAACCCAGCUGAAAGCAACCCGUGAGAUCCCAAAGCACCGAGAGCCCAGAAACUCAAGCUCGCCUUAUCCAUUGUUGAUGAACUCAAAUUCGUUGCCCAAUCUUUCAUUCUGUCAUAUUCCCUAUCUCACAGAGUCUCUGUAGCAAGCUUUACAACUUGCCUAAUUUGGAAAGCUCUAUCCAUCAGUGCCUCAAGUGCCCCCAAAGCACUCAACUCCUAAACGUUUUUGUUCAUUAUCUAUUGAUUUUGCUGGAGCAUUUUCAUCAGGAUUAAAGUGGGAAUUUUCAACAUAUGAAGAAAAUACACUUGGCAUUUCAUCAAUUAAGGUGUUAAUGAGUAAAUAGGUGGCAAAAUUUAGAGGCAAUAAGUUGAAGUUUGGAGCAUUUUCUAGAAGAACUGGGCCAAAAAUAGAGACAAGGAAAGUAGGCUUUCUAAUUAGGGAAAGGAAUAUACCCAAUCAUCAUUAAAAAAAAAAAGAGGCAGCCACCAUUUUAGAAAUAGAGAGGAUUCUAGAGCUGAAAUUAGAGAGAAAAAAUACCCAAAAGGAGAAUGAAGAAGAAGAAAAGAAAGAAAGGGAAGAAGAAGAAGAGAAAAGAGAAGGACAAGGAAGGAGGAUCCAUCUACAUAAUUUCCUCUUUACCCUUUACUCUUUUUGUAUUUCUAUUUUUGUAUUUCUCUUUAUUUGUAAACCCAUAGAUGUGUUGAACUAAUUUUCUUGUAGCUAGAGUUAUUGAUGAACUUGGAUUGUGGAUUUAAUUGAUGUUUUAUUAAUGUUUUUAGUAAUUAAAGUUUUGUUCAUUAAA